AUUGAACGCUGGCGGCAUGCCUUACACAUGCAAGUCGAACGGCAGCACGGACUUCGGUCUGGUGGCGAGUGGCGAACGGGUGAGUAAUGUAUCGGAACGUACCUUUCAGUGGGGGAUAACGUAGCGAAAGUUACGCUAAUACCGCAUAUUCUGUGAGCAGGAAAGCAGGGGAUCGCAAGACCUUGCGCUGAUUGAGCGGCCGAUAUCAGAUUAGCUAGUUGGUGGGGUAAAGGCCUACCAAGGCUACGAUCUGUAGCGGGUCUGAGAGGAUGAUCCGCCACACUGGAACUGAGACACGGUCCAGACUCCUACGGGAGGCAGCAGUGGGGAAUUUUGGACAAUGGGGGCAACCCUGAUCCAGCCAUGCCGCGUGAGUGAAGAAGGCCUUCGGGUUGUAAAGCUCUUUCGGCCGGGAAGAAAUCGCAUAGGCUAAUACCCUGUGUGGAUGACGGUACCGGAAUAAGAAGCACCGGCUAGCUACGUGCCAGCCGCCGCGGUAAGAC
rnacentral:rRNA from 1 species